GGGCUAGUAGCUUAGCGGACUAAAGCAUCGGUCUGUGAAACCGUGAUCGAGGGUUCGAAUCCCUUCUAGCCCA
rnacentral:tRNA from 1 species